UAAUACGUAGGCAGCGAGCGUUGUUCGGAAUUACUGGGCGUAAAGAGUGUGUAGGCGGUCGUCUAAGUUCGGUGUGAAAUCUCCUGGCUUAACUGGGAGGGUGCGCCGGAAACUGGAGGGCUCGAGCGUGGGAGAGGAAAGCGGAAUUCCUGGUGUAGCGGUGAAAUGCGUAGAUAUCAGGAGGAACACCUGCGGUGUAGACGGCUUUCUGGACCAUUGCUGACGCUGAGACACGAAAGCGUGGGUAGCAAACAGGAUUAGAUACCCUGGUAGUCCACGCCCUAAACGAUGCAUACUUGGUGUCGGCCAUUCAGUUGGUCGGUGCCGGAGCUAACGCGUUAAGUAUGCCGCCUGGGGAGUACGGUCGCAAGGCU
rnacentral:rRNA from 1 species